UUGUAACCUGUUAAAUUUAAUAGACUGAACUAAGCAUGUAGAUCCCUCGGCAGAGGACUGACGGACGCGGGUUCAAUUCCCGCCGCCUCCACCA
rnacentral:tmRNA from 1 species